GAUGAACGCUGGCGGCGUGCCUAAUACAUGCAAGUCGAGCGAACGGACGAGAAGCUUGCUUCUCUGAUGUUAUCGGCGGACGUGUGAGUAACACGUGUAUAACCUCCCUAUAAGACUGGGAUAACUUCGGGAAACCGGCGCUAAUACCGGAUAAUAUUUUGAACCGCAAGGUUCAAAUGUGAAAUACGGUCUUGCUGCUACUUAUUGAUGGUGCCGCGCUGCAUUAGCUAGUUGGUAUGGCAACGUCUUACCAAGGCAACACUGCAUCGCCGACCGGAGAGGGGGAUAGCCCAAACGGGAACUGAGAAACGGUCCAGACCCCUACGGGAGGAACAAGUAGGGAAUCUUGCGCAAUGGGCGAAAGCCGGACGGGGCAACGCCGCGUGAGUGAUGAAGGUCUUCGGAUCGUAAAACUCUGUGAUUAGGGAAGAACAUAUGUGUAAGGAAAUGUGCACAUCUUGACGGUACCUAAUCAGAAAGCCACGGCUAACUACGUG
rnacentral:rRNA from 1 species